rnacentral:pre_miRNA from 1 species
AAUGCAAUUGCUGGGUCAUGUGGUAGUUAUUUGUGUUUAGUGUUUUAAGAAACUGCCAAAUAUUUUCCAGAAUAACUAUAUCAUUUUACAUGUCCACUAGCAAU